rnacentral:lncRNA from 1 species
UCUUGGGACCGUUCGGACGGCGCGUUUGAGUCGUUAUUGCCGUGUGUUUCUACUGUUCUUGUAUUUUCGUGAAUUUCGCGCAGUGUUCGACCAGUUGACUUGCUUCAUCCGAACGUGCUGUGCUUUAUUACGCAAUCGUGAAGAUUUGCCUCCACUGCUGACGUAGUGAGGGACAAUCGGCUGGGAGCCUCGCCUCCACGUCAACGAUAACAACAGCCAGCAGAGUUCCUGCCAGGAAGCCCAGCAGUGCCGCGGACCCAUCACCAGCCACCAUCUUCCCAUCGGCAUGAUGCCCUGUUGGGAAGCAGCCGGCCCAGAACCACAGAGUUCCAUUUACCAGGGACAUCACCGCUCAAGAGAUCCCUGGUAACCGGCUGAGCAGUUGUUGCUUACACCACUCUCUCUCUUUCUCUCGCCCUCUUGCUUUCACAGCCUCUGCAGAGCAACAUCUUCAGUCAGAUGAUCAUCGGGAGGGGAGGCAUCAUGAUGGCAAGCUGUGGUGGACAAAGAGGCAGGUAGGACACGUGAAACCAACGCUGACCCUGGGUUGGGGGAAGAGGAUGAGGGGUGCCCCCUGCCACGGCUGGGGGGGAAGUGGUGUUCGGAGGGGGGAGAUGAGUGGCCCCCCCCAAGAAGGCAGCGUUAGGGGUUUGGCACGGCAAAAAGUUUCUCUCGCUCGACCAUUCACAGCCAGUCUCUGUUUAUCUUUCUUAAGUCAUUGUCCACACCUGGAGCAGAUGCUUGAGCAGGAUGUCGUCCUUGAUGCGUCCUUCCUUGCGGGCGCGGACGGCCAGCGCGACGAACCACUGUGCCGGCACCCACCACUUGCCGUGGGACACCGGGAUUGAGUCGUACACGCGCCGCUCCUCCUUGGUCAUCAGGCCUGCCGGAAAGCAAAAUUCAGCCAUUGUGAGUCAUCUGUCACAUGAUUUGGAUCUCGGACUCGGGGAUGGUAUGGUGCCGACUCACCGUCGUCUCAGUGAAUUGUGCAUGACACGGAGUGGAUGUUCUCGCGGAUAAUGGAUAAUUAAGGACGCAAAGCUGGGUUCCGAGUAUGUGGACAACGGCGGCUAAUGCGAACUCCGCGACAAGGCUUACGCGCGAGAAUGGUGCUUGGGCUCAGUUCUUGGAAAUCAUCCGGACGGAAGAGACAUCGCCCGUAUUCUGCGGGACCUCGUGGUCGUCCAAUUAAAAUUGCACGCGCUCAUGAAGCUGUUCGGAGAAAGCUCGCGCUGGGCUCACAAAACACUCCAUUUCCCGCUACUGCACGCUAACGUAGAAAAUUGAAAGUUACGAAGAAAAAAAUAAUUCACAGCAUAUCCACGGGUGAAUGAUGAACAGCUUGGGCGAAGCUC